rnacentral:rRNA from 1 species
CUCCUGGAAACGGGUGGUAAUGCCGGAUGCUCCGCCCCCUCGCAUGGGGGGUCGGGAAGGCUUUUGCGGAAUGGGAUGGGGUCGCGUCCUAUCAGCUUGUUGGCGGGGCGACGGCCCACCAAGGCUUCGACGGGUAGCCGGCCUGAGAGGGCGACCGGCCACAUUGGGACUGAGAUACGGCCCAGACUCCUACGGGAGGCAGCAGUGGGGAAUAUUGCACAAUGGGGGGAACCCUGAUGCAGCGACGCCGCGUGCGGGAUGGAGGCCUUCGGGUCGUGAACCGCUUUUGAUUGGGAGCAAGCGUGAGUGAGUGUACCUUUCGAAUAAGCACCGGCUAACUACGUGCCAGCAGCCGCGGUAAUACGUAGGGUGCAAGCGUUGUCCGGAAUCAUUGGGCGUAAAGGGCCCGUAGGCGGUUCGUCGCGUCCGGUGUGAAAGCCCAUCGCUUAACGGUGGGUCUGCGCCGGGUACGGGCGGGCUUGAGUGCGGCAGGGGAGGCUGGAAUUCCCGGUGUAACGGUGGAAUGUGUAGAUAUCGGGAAGAACACC